rnacentral:snRNA from 1 species
AUACUUACCGGCGCGCGGGGAUACCGUGAUCAAGAAGCGGUGCCUCCAGACGAGCCUGACAUUGCACUCCGUAUGGCUGACUCCUGCGACUACCCCAAAUCGGGUGGCUCUCGAGACGCAUAAUUUUGUAGUGGGACAAGCGUUCGCGCUGUCCCUU